rnacentral:rRNA from 1 species
UACGGAGGAUGCGAGCGUUAUCCGGAUUUAUUGGGUUUAAAGGGUGCGUAGGCGGUCCGUUAAGUCAGCGGUAAAAUUGCGGGGCUCAACCCCGUCGAGCCGUUGAAACUGGCAGACUUGAGUUGGCGAGAAGUACGCGGAAUGCGCGGUGUAGCGGUGAAAUGCAUAGAUAUCGCGCAGAGCUCCGAUUGCGAAGGCAGCGUACCGGCGCCAGACUGACGCUGAGGCACGAAAGCGUGGGUAUCGAACAGG